GGCUCGGCGCCGCGCCGAAGUUUUCCUCGAUGGCAGCGCUCGCCUUCUGUCCCCCGCGGAAAAAAUGGUCUCGCCCACCGCAGGCGGGGCUGCGGCUCUGGAGAAAGCGUCCAGUCCGUGAGGGGUGGCGCGCACGGAGAAAGGCCAAGGCUACGAGCAGGGGAAUUCGCCGGGGCUGCGGCCUCCAGCUCGCUCCUCACCCCCUUUUUCUGCCCUCCACAUCCGUCUGACGGUCCCCUCCAACCCCCAACCCCUUCUAAGCCAAUACGGAGCAUUUCCGUUUUUCCAAGUUCGCCCCAGCCGCAUCACGAAGUCAGCGAAUCCCAGAGGCUGUUCCCUACCUCACUUCCUGUGUCUCACAAAUCCAAUGGUUGGCUCUAGCUUGGCAUAGGGCAGCCCAGCUCUGAAGCCUAAGAACAGGAUCCUCUACAUUCCCCCACGCCUAAACUGUUCUGCCACCCAUCACUCUUGGUGUAGAGGGAGGACAUGCACCUGAGGAUGAAAGAAGCACUGUCUGCCCAGAUGGUAAAAGGUCUGACCAGUUACAAAGCCACUAAGAGGCACCAACUCUAAUCAGCAAGACCCUAGUUCAAAAUUAUGGUAUCUUCUGGUGAUGGAAUACUAUUGUGCUAAGAGGAAUAAUGAACGGGAGGAAUUCCAUGGGAACUGGAAUGACCUCCAGGAACUGAUGCAGAAUGAGAGAAGCAGAACCAGGAGAACCUUAUACACAGAGACUGAUACACUGUGGCACAAUCUAAUGUAAUGGACUUCUCUACUAGCAACAAUGCAAUGAUCCAGGUCAAUGCUGAGGGGCUUAUGAGAAAGAACACUAUCCACACCCAGAGAAAGAACUGUGGGAGAAGAAACCCAGAAGAAAAACAACUGCUUGAUCACAUGGGUCAAUGGGGAUAUGGUUGGGGAUGUAGCCUCUAAAUGAUCAUCCUGGUGCAAAUAUCAAUAAUAUGGAAAUGGGGCUUGAUCAAUGACACAUGUAAAACCCAGUGAAAUUGCUUGUUGGCUACGGGAGAUGGGGAUGGAAAGAAAAUGAAUCUUGUAACCAUGGAAACCUAUUCUAAAUCAACUAAUUAAAUUUUAAAAAAAACUUAAA